UACGAAGGGUGCAAGCGUUACUCGGAAUUACUGGGCGUAAAGCGUGCGUAGGUGGUGAGUUAAGUCUGUCGUGAAAGCCCCGGGCUCAACCUGGGAAUGGCGAUGGAUACUGGCUCGCUAGAGUGCGGUAGAGGAGAGUGGAAUUCCCGGUGUAGCAGUGAAAUGCGUAGAGAUCGGGAGGAACAUCAGUUGCGAAGGCGGCUCUCUGGACCAGCACUGACACUGAGGCACGAAAGCUAGGGGAGCGAAUGGG
rnacentral:rRNA from 1 species